AGUGAACGCUGGCGGCGUGCCUAAUACAUGCAAGUCGAACGGACGAGUAAGAGCUUGCUCUUAUGAGUUAGUGGCGCACGGGUGAGUAAUGUAUAGCUAAUCUGCCCUACACUAGAGGACAACAGUUGGAAACGACUGCUAAUACUCUAUACUCCUCUCUAGCAUAAGUUAGAUAGGGAAAGUUUUUCGGUGUAGGAUGAGGCUAUAUUGUAUCAGCUAGUUGGUGAGGUAAUGGCUCACCAAGGCUAUGACGCAUAACUGGUCUGAGAGGAUGAUCAGUCACACUGGAACUGAGACACGGUCCAGACUCCUACGGGAGGCAGCAGUAGGGAAUAUUGCUCAAUGGGGGAAACCCUGAAGCAGCAACGCCGCGUGGAGGAUGACACUUUUCGGAGCGUAAACUCCUUUUGUUAGGGAAGAACAAUGACGGUACCUAACGAAUAAGCACCGGCUAACUCCGUGCCAGCAGCCGCGGUAAUACGGAGGGUGCAAGCGUUACUCGGAAUCACUGGGCGUAAAGGACGCGUAGGCGGAUUAUCAAGUCUCUUGUGAAAUCCUAUGGCUUAACCAUAGAACUGCUUGGGAAACUGAUAAUCUAGAGUGAGGGAGAGGCAGAUGGAAUUGGUGGGUGUAGGGGU
rnacentral:rRNA from 1 species